CGACACCACCGUCACCAUUUCGUUUUCAUUACUGGACUUUCUUUACGUAAACACUGAUUGUGGAGUUUAAUGACUUGUGUUUUAUUAACCGGAUCAGGACUCAUCUUACAGUGUCUUCAUCCAUAAAUGACUGUGUUCUCUUGGAUUUCACAGCCAUUAGUGGGGCAGAGAGAGCAUUUGGGAGUCACACACGGGCAGAAGAUGAGUGGUAAACAGACGAUUGGAGCAUGGUCCGCCUCUGAGUGCUCUACAGUAUGAACAGCACCACACAGCCCCCUCACAUUAUCAAUGGAGAUGUGGCCGUUAGCUAUGUGCUUGUCCCGCUCUUCCUCAUCAUUGUGAUCGGGAUUGUCACUGCAGUGGUGACGUACAUAAGAAGGAAACAAAGGAUUGAUAGACUUCGGCAUCAGUUGCUACCGGUCUACACAUAUGACCCAACUGAAGAGCUGAACGAGGCAGAACAGGAAAUUCUUUGGAAAGAGGAAGACACAAAGGUGGUAAAGGGUUGGAUGAGGACAUAUCAGCAGCGGCGAACCCUUGACCCGCUGUCAAAGGAUCCUGACGCAUGAAAAUGAAGUUUUGCAGAUAAGGUGGUUUCUCACGCUGCAAGAGUUUCUCACUAAAAACCCCACCUCCACCCCAGCUUCACAUGUCUAGAUAUGCUACAUGGGGAGUCAAAGUCCCUUAUAAAAUGGUUUAGAUUUAGAAGAUGGAGAAUUUUGAGCAAUUAUCUACUAAUUUACAUUUGGCCAUUUGAAGCGAUGAGUCUCAAACAUCUUUUCAGCCCCUCUGUGUCAUGAGAAGUCUACAGGACGCUGGUGACUCCUCACACAGCGUUGGAUGAUUUCACCUCAGGUUACUUCCUGCAAAUAUGGUCCAAUAUAGUGCCACAAUUUCACCUCUGAAGAGCAGCAAAUUUGUUGUUUGAACAACUCUCGGUUUACUAAGACUCAAGAAAGACGUUCACUGUUAUGUUUCGUUAUUUAUUCUAGUUUUAUGAAUUAUUCUGAUGUUCUGUGCUUUUAAAUCCCUGUCCGAGCCAUUUCAUAUUAGCCAUAUUGAUUAUGCAUGAAUGUAAUGUGUUCUGGAGUGUAAACCAAAACCAUGCUGGUUUACAGUGGCUAGCUGAUCCUUUAAACCAGUUGUUUUCAACUAGUUUAGCUGUAAGUCCCAAAUAUUAGAGUGCCAAAUUUCACUAGCUUCAAUGUCCAAAUGAUGUGAUUUUAAAAUACUGAGCAGUUUUAUUUGAUGCACUGCUUUACAAGUCAUCAAAGAUAUGGAAAGCAUUUCCUUCUCCCUUUUUAAAUGUUACUGAUAAGCCUAUUUAUUUUUCUAUUCUUACACUACGUGUCCACUGGUGUGAAAGAAUUUCACUCAAUACCACCCGAAAUGCUAGAGGUCAGUCGCCGGGGAUGUGUGUUGGUAAAAUGUACAGUUGUGUGGGUAUGUUUAGUCAGUACUUUCCAUGUACAUUAAAAGUUUGAUUUCGUCAGACUAAAAUAAUAAUUUGAAAAUGCGAUUGUAGCGACUUGAAAGCUCGUGUGGAAAUCCUCAACAAAGUUAAUGAUAAGCAUUCACUUUUAAGCAUAAAAGAGCAUUACAUGAUAAUAAAACUUGUUUACUACACGUUUGCAGAGAUGGGUGUGUUAUAUACUAGGGAUGUCCCGAUAUCAUUUUUUUUGAGAACCAAUACCUUUCUGAUAUUUUCCGAUACAGUUUUUUCGAUUAUUUCAAUUUUAUCAUCAAAAUGGUGUUUAAAUGAGUUAAUUUAUUUAAACUUUAAUCAAAUUAAAAUCUUAAUUUUCAACAUAAUGUUGUAUUAUUUUUUAUCAAAUAAAGUGCUUAUAUACAGAACCUCACAGCACAAUCCAAAUUACAGCAUCGAGUUCUACUUUGUCAAAUAAUGUGCUGCAUAUCAGAGCAUUGCAAAUGUAAUAUAUUGCUUAAAUAUAAUACAAUUACCAUUGAUUUAUUAUUAUUAGUAGUAGAAAUACAGUGAAUAUUACAUAACUUUACAAUAGUGAUAUAUUUCUUUAAAAAACAAAUUGUAUUUAAAUUGAGCUUUUAUUUUGAAGUGUUUUUGUGUGAUAAUGUUUUCUUUUCAGUCCAGAAAAGCUGGUUGCUACAUGACUCAAAGUGAUUAUUAAACUGCAAAAGCCUGCUACUUAAUUAAAUAAGUAUGUACUCUGUAUGUGCCUCCUGCUACAAAGUGAAUUUGCGCUCUGUUCACUGUCAUCACAGAGCGCUUGAUGCUCAUGAUGGUAUUUUCCCAGUAUGAGCCAAGAAGAAGCUUUAAAAUGUACGUGCGGUGCAGCUGGCGUCGGCACAACACAUUCACUAGUGCUCUGCUCACAUUUGAAGCACGCUGCACAUACAAAGUAAACUAUACAUUUAUUUCAUUAAAUUGCAACUUUUGCAGAUAAUAAUCUCACUAGGACAUAACUUGAUUAGAAUUUGCACGCUGAUUGUUUGACAUUCGUACGUCAGAUUGUAUUGGUUUUUGGUAUCAGAGCAUUUUUACGAGCAAAGAGUACAUGAGUGUAUUGUUGGACCCUAUUCAGAUACUAGUAGCAGAUACUAGCGGGACAUCCCUAUAAAAUACGGAAAUGAUCAUCUCUUUUGAUAAUCAUACACAUGUAGAACAAAUGUAGCAUUGCUUAUCAUAGUUUUUUCUCUGCAAUUUGGUUGCUGGGAGAUGAUUCCGCUGACAGAGCUAACACCUGCUAAGCUAAUGGAAGCAUUGCAGUCAUGUUUCCCUAUUUGUCGUCUUGGGCAAUGGAAUGCUUGUUUGGAAAUCGGAAAUAUCAUGUAAGAAUAUAACACAUCCGACUUUGAAUGGAACGCGGCAUAAGAUUGUUUCAGUACAGUCACUAAAAUCAUCACAUAUGCAUGUUUGCAGUGGAAAAAAAUACUUUGUCUCCGAGUGUCCAACGUAUAAAUAUUAAAUUUAUAUUAACCAAUGUAACUUUGGUUAACUAGUCUAAAUAGUCUAUACCAUGUGAGAGCAUGCUAACUGCAUUUGACACAAAAAUCCAAGUUAAGAAUGUAAUUUAUGCGAAAAAUCGGAAUACCUCAAAACCAAUUUGCGAAUAAAGCAGCAUUUCCAUCCCAUUUGGUCAAGUCACAGCCACUGUGGCUAGUUUAUAUGAAAUAAUUGUGGUUUAGAGCGUGCAGACAAAAUCCACUGACGAACUUCAUGUUUGCUAGCGUUCAACGGCCAAUGUCUUAUAUCUUGAGCGAAAUCGCGCCACGCAGUUCUGGUAAGUAAUAGUAGCCAAUAAUUUUGAUGACAGGCUUUUAUUAUGUUAGCCUGCUGGCUAGUUUAGUUCUGAGUGAAUUAUUCAGUCACAUGACUUGAGGCUAUUGUGACUUUUUUGAUGAGAAUCUUUGAAUUUAUGUGUUAAAUGUGUUUCCAGUUUAUGCGCAUGUCUUCUUUUUGAAAAAAUAAAAUGUAUCCACCAGCAAACGUAUAUGUGUUUUAUGCGCAUUUUUGGAUCUUGGUGUUUCCAAUCAGCAUUUUUCUGUUAUAUCCCAACAUUUGCAUGAAAAUACAUGGAUUGAAAAGCAGAAAAUGGGAUUUAAGAACUGAAUACAGCAAGAACUCAAGCAGUAUCAUCCAAUUUUUUUAACUCUUUUGACCGACGUCGCUGCCUUUUCUACACAGGCGUUUUUCGCUUGUCAUUUGCAUGAAGUUAAGCAUUUCUCAACUUUUGACGCCAUUCGUCCCUCUCUGCUUGCAAUCCCUCACGCGAGCGUGUCGCUCAGCUCCCAUUGAGAAUGAAUUUAAAAUGCCUGCUCACGCCGCACCAGUGGACACAUACUGUAACUAUUUAAGUUUUUAUGGUUAAUUUCAUUUUAUUAUUUGCAUUUAGCAUUGCGACCCUAAACGACCUGCAACCCAUUUUUUUGCCACGACUUAUGACCCACCAGUUGAGAACCACUCUUUUAAACUCACAGCUCUCUGAAAAUUUUACUUUUGCCUGCAUGAAUGCCUGCAUGUGAUUGAGAUUUUUACCACAAUGGGAUAGUACAAAAUGACUGGGCAAUAUUUAUUUUCAGUUUUUUGUUUAUUUGGACAAAAUGCAAUGUGUUUAGUGACCUGUUUUACAGUCGCUAGAGUGCACUUGCUGUUAAAGAUGUGUUACUGAGUGAAGAUAGUGGUUGGAUUGUUUAGAUUAUUCGAACAUACUGAAGAUACGUUCCACAUUUAGAAACCUCCUGCCCAUCAUGUGCAAAUGUGUUCCACACCUGGUGGUAGGAGGUCAAAACAAAGCGAAGCCAAUGAACUCUACUUGGCCAAAAGUAUAUGGUAACCCCUUCUCAUUAACAUGUUUGGCUAUUUUUAGCUACACGCUACUAACAGGUACAUACAAUGAGGUAUACAGCCAAGCAAAAAGUAGAAUGAGGAGUACUGAACAGUUCAGUGACUUUUAACAUGGCACUGUCAUAGGAUGCCAUCAGUUAAAUUAGUCUGAUGUGGAAGAACUUGACUAGCCUGCACAAAGUCCAAACCUGAACCCUAUUGAACACCUUUGAAACAGUGACUGUGAGUCAGAUCCCAUCACCCAAAAUCAGUGUCUGAGUGUCUGACCUCACUGAUGCUCUUGUGUCUGAAUGGGAGCAAAUCAUUAAGAAGAGUGGAACUUUACAGUAAGGAACUUACAAUGGGAGUGAAUGGGGCCAGUCCAUAAACUUUAAAAUAGUAAAAUGUUUAAUACAUAAACAUUUAACGUAUUAACAUGAUUGUGUGGGAUAGAAUAUACUUCUGUUACAUGUACCUGCUUACAGGGUUUACCAGUGUUGCUUCGUCAAUAUUGGAUACAACUUUACCAGACUGAUGGUGCAUUCAAGUCAUGUUGGAAAGAUCCUAUUUACGAGCGCACAUAAACGUUUGCAACAAAACUACAUUUUCCAUCAUUAAAUGUGGUCGCACAAGAAUGAUAAAAUAGGUAGAUAAAGCAUCAAUUGCACACCUAAUGCGUGACUUUCCAUUUAUUUUGUUGCAUUGGUGCUUAAAAAGCUUUCUGCCUACACUAUGUGAAAAAGUAACUUAAGUCCUGUUGAAAUGAGCUUGCAUCAACCAGUUAGAAAUCUGUAACGGGGUGUUUUAUUGUUUCUUAAUGAUCACAGAAGUAUUGUGGUUCUUGUAUUCCAAAAAAACAAUUAUUUUUACAAUUGUGAAUGUGCCAGUGGUACAUGUAAGGAUGGAUGUUUAUAUUCAGGAGUUUCUAAAGGAAGUUGGAGUUGGUUCACUGUAUGGAAAGAAGAGUUGAAGUCGAUAAAUUGGUUGCAGGCAGGUGUAAAACGAGUCCGGAUUUUGUAAUGCUGUACCAGGUUUAACCCAUUUGAACUUGGACUUGUUAGGCAAACUAUAUGGGUCCAUCUGCAGGACAGGUGAAACUUCUGUCAAAUAUCUCAAAGCUGAAACGUUUUCAUGUCCACAGUUGUGAGAUCCUCUAGUUCAAGUGUCAGCUAAAAAAAAAAAAUGGUGACACACAGUUUGCAUAUUUUAAGCUACCACCCAUGUAAUGAUAACAUUUUUAUUUUUACAAGCCUAUUUGUGUAUUUUAUGUUGAAUCUCUAUUAUUAAAGUUGUCGCUUUAUUAAAUCAUCUAUUUUAUUGAGUUAGUCUAAAGGGACAGUUCACAGAAUCUAUUCAUUUUUAUUGCAAGUUGGCGAUUUGAGGAGACUUGAGGGAUAGCGACCAUUAGGCAAUGUGACAAAGUGGAGUAGAUGAGUGCAGACAGUGAUCUGCUGCCUAACAAUAAUCUAUUGACGACCAACAGAACACACUUGGCGGCGCUUCGUGAGCUCUUGCAAUUGCAUCGAUGUAAGGGGGCAUUAUAGACCUUAUUCACAGGAGUGUCAUUUAUCAUUUUUACUCAGAUUAUUGUAAAGUCAAAAUGUACAGUAAUCUGCUUUAAGGUUCUCUCUUUCUUUCUCUUACUGUAAGACCUGUACAAUUUUAACUUCAAGCGUUUAAAACUGCUUUAAACUUUUAGACAAGGUUUGUUAAACAAACAUUAUAGUUUGUCUCUACAAACUAUACAUUUCUAGGUCAGUACUUUUAAAAAGCUUAACCCUAUAAAGCCUAUAUGAAAUAAUAGUCAGAAAAUUCAUUUUUAGAGUGGUUCCAAAAAUAUUCAGUUAGAAUUAUUAAGGCAAAAGGGUCCUAUUAUCUGGCUGGGGCCCUCAUAGUCACAGACAGGGUUGGGAGGGUUACUUUUGAAAUGUAUUCCACUACAGAUUACAGAAUACAUGCUGUAAAAAUGUAAUUUGUAAUGUAUUCUGUUCGAUUACUGAAGGUCAGUAAUGUAUUCUAAAUACUUUGGAUUACUUCUUCAGAACUGGUGGAUUUUUUUCAAUUGUUUUUUCUAUAAAAUUCUGUCCAUACAG